UGCGUAGGCGGGUUCUUAAGUCAGUGGUGAAAUCCUGCGGCUCAACCGUAGAACUGCCAUUGAAACUGAGAACCUUGAAUACAAUUGAGGUAGGCGGAAUGAGUAGUGUAGCGGUGAAAUGCUUAGAUAUUACUCAGAACACCAAUUGCGAAGGCAGCUUACUAAAUUGUUAUUGACGCUGAUGCACGAAAGCGUGGGGAGCAAACAGGAUUAGAUACCCUGGUAGUCC
rnacentral:rRNA from 1 species